rnacentral:lncRNA from 1 species
GGAUUUUGUAAUGAGAGGGCUUUAAUAUUGGAACUCUACUUUCUACUGGAGGGAUGAUAUUUGUUGUUUAUUGUCCUUAGGAUUCUAUAUGCUGUUGAGAAACAGUCACGCAGAGGAC